rfam:Picea glauca, whole genome shotgun sequence.
ACAUGCCUACAACAUAGCGUUAAUGCACUGAAUCCCAUUACAACUCCACAGUUAAGCGCACUCAGGCUAGAGUAGUAUUGGGAUGGGUGACUGCUCAGGAAGUCCUAGUGUUUUACAUGCC